rnacentral:rRNA from 1 species
CCUACGGAGGCAGCAGUGGGGAAUAUUGGACAAUGGGCGCAAGCCUGAUCCAGCCAUGCCGCGUGAGUGAUGAAGGCCCUAGGGUUGUAAAGCUCUUUCACCGGUGAAGAUAAUGACGGUAACCGGAGAAGAAGCCCCGGCUAACUUCGUGCCAGCAGCCGCGGUAAUA